rnacentral:rRNA from 1 species
UACGGAGGGUGCGAGCGUUGUCCGGAAUCACUGGGCGUAAAGGGCGCGUAGGCGGCUCAUGAAGGCUGUGGUGAAAGUCCGGGGCUCAACCUCGGAUCGGCCGUGGCGACUCGUGGGCUGGAGCACUGUAGAGGCGGGUGGAAUUCCGGGUGUAGCGGUGGAAUGCGUAGAGAUCCGGAAGAACACCAGUGGCGAAGGCGGCCGACUGGGCCGACCCUGACGCUGAGGCGCGAAGGCGUGGGGAGCGAACGGG